rnacentral:rRNA from 1 species
AUUGAACGCUGGCGGCAGGCCUAACACAUGCAAGUCGAACGGUAACAGGAAACAGCUUGCUGUUUCGCUGACGAGUGGCGGACGGGUGAGUAAUGUCUGGGAAACUGCCUGAUGGAGGGGGGUAACUACUGGAAACGGUAGCUAAUACCGCAUAACGUCGCAAGACCAAAGAGGGGGACCCUUGGGCCUCUUGCCAUCGGAUGUGCCCAGAUGGGAGUAGCUUGUUGGUGGGGUAACGGCUCACCAAGGCGACGAUCCCUAGCUGGUAUGAGAGGAUGACCAGCCACACUGGAACUGAGACACGGUCCAGACUCCUACGGGAGGCAGCAGUGGGGAAUAUUGCACAAUGGGCGCAAGCCUGAUGCAGCCAUGCCGCGUGUAUGAAGAAGGCCUUCGGGUUGUAAAGUACUUUCAGCGGGGAGGAAAAGAGUAAAGUUAAUACCUUCGCUCAUUGACGUUACCCGCAGAAGAAGCACCGGCUAACUCCGUG